rnacentral:RNase_P_RNA from 1 species
CCAGUUGACCGGGCGGCCGCUUCGCGGGGGUAACCUUGCGGGGAGGAAAGUCCGGGCUCCAUCGAAAGACGGUGCCGGCUAACGGCCGGCGGGGGCGACCCCAGGGAAAGUGCCACAGAAAGCAAACCGCCUGCCUUCGGGCCGGCAAGGGUGAAAGGGUGCGGUAAGAGCGCACCGCGGGCCCGGCAACGGGAACGGCAUGGCAAACCCCACCGGGAGCAAGACCAAAUAGGGGUGACGCGGAAGCAAUUCCGGCCGGUUUUCGAGGCCAGUCACCCGGGUUGGUUGCAUGAGGCGGCUGGCAACAGACGUCGCAGAUGAAUGGCCGCCACGUCGGGGAAACCCGGCCCUACAGAACCCGGCUUACAGGUCAACUGGCGCU